UUUUAUUUUUGUUUGAAUUGGUCGGGUGCUCUUUCACCUUGGAAAAUUAUAGUUCCCCCAUGGGGAAUUAGCAGCGCCAAUGAACGAUAUACACAUACUACUAUUGCUUUAGCUUUACUCAUGUCAGCGACAGAUUUUUAUGCCGGACUUCGUAAAAAAUUGAGCUAUUUAGAGAAAUAUAUUAAACCAACUCCAAUCAUUUUACCAAUUAACAUCAUACAAGAUUUCACAAAACCGUUAUCACUUAGCUUUUGACUUUUCAGGAAUAUAUUUGCAGACGAAUUAGUCAUCGUUAUUCUUGUUUCAUUAGUCCCCUUUAGCUUGAUGAAGAUUGUUGAGGGGGCUAAUCGGAGUUGA
rnacentral:rRNA from 1 species